rnacentral:lncRNA from 1 species
GUGUCUUGCCCAGCAGUCGGUAUGAUAAUUGAUACAUCAAAUUGAAAAUUUUAGCAAGCCCGAUUACAUGAUGGUCUAACCAGGGAGUACUUUAGUACUGGAGUCUGCAUUAUAUCUUACACGACCUAAUAUUCAAGAAGUUGUGUCACAACUUAUUAUUAAUAAAACUUCGGCAGAAAAAUUUAGAAUAUUACUUUCAACGAGAAUCAUUUUGACUCAUAACUGGAUGUGGAUGGAUUACUUGAUUAGUUAAUUUAAGCGUGUAUUUGAUACCCAUGCUUAUUCCCUUUUUAAAGAUAGUUUUAAUGCCGUCUAAUUUUGCAGUUAAAGUAAUUUUUUCAUUUUUAAAAGAUGGGAAGACGAAAUUUCGACGGCACGCGGCCAAAUAUGAAUAUUCCCCCCCUCCUUCAUCAUUUAAAAAAAGAUUUUUAUUAUAAUGUGCCUUAAUUGAUAAUGUAUCUAAGUAUCAUUACAUGUAUGAAUAUAUAUUAUCUACUUCUAUUCAAUCCGAUGUAAUUGAAUUGAAUGAACUGGAAUAAUAUUUUUUCUA